AGUUUGAUCCUGGCUCAGGAUGAACGCUGGCGGCGUGCCUAAUACAUGCAAGUCGAGCGAACAGACGAGGAGCUUGCUCCUCUGACGUUAGCGGCGGACGGGUGAGUAACACGUGGAUAACCUACCUAUAAGACUGGGAUAACUUCGGGAAACCGGAGCUAAUACCGGAUAAUAUAUUGAACCGCAUGGUUCAAUAGUGAAAGACGGUUUUGCUGUCACUUAUAGAUGGAUCCGCGCCGCAUUAGCUAGUUGGUAAGGUAACGGCUUACCAAGGCAACGAUGCGUAGCCGACCUGAGAGGGUGAUCGGCCACACUGGAACUGAGACACGGUCCAGACUCCUACGGGAGGCAGCAGUAGGGAAUCUUCCGCAAUGGGCGAAAGCCUGACGGAGCAACGCCGCGUGAGUGAUGAAGGUCUUCGGAUCGUAAAACUCUGUUAUUAGGGAAGAACAAAUGUGUAAGUAACUAUGCACGUCUUGACGGUACCUAAUCAGAAAGCCACGGCUAACUACGUGCCAGCAGCCGCGGUAAUACGUAGGUGGCAAGCGUUAUCCGGAAUUAUUGGGCGUAAAGCGCGCGUAGGCGGUUUUUUAAGUCUGAUGUGAAAGCCCACGGCUCAACCGUGGAGGGUCAUUGGAAACUGGAAAACUUGAGUGCAGAAGAGGAAAGUGGAAUUCCAUGUGUAGCGGUGAAAUGCGCAGAGAUAUGGAGGAACACCAGUGGCGAAGGCGACUUUCUGGUCUGUAACUGACGCUGAUGUGCGAAAGCGUGGGGAUCAAACAGGAUUAGAUACCCUGGUAGUCCACGCCGUAAACGAUGAGUGCUAAGUGUUAGGGGGUUUCCGCCCCUUAGUGCUGCAGCUAACGCAUUAAGCACUCCGCCUGGGGAGUACGACCGCAAGGUUGAAACUCAAAGGAAUUGA
rnacentral:rRNA from 1 species